rnacentral:lncRNA from 1 species
CAUGGAGACCUCCAACACCGCUCUCCACUACGUGCCUCUUCUCCUGCUUAAGAACCUGGACGUCUUAGACGAGCUGGGCUUAUGGUGAAUGUGAUUGGGGACAGUCAAGGGUCUCUGAGGCCAUGCUGGAAGGUUGUUGGGUGAUGAACGAAGACAUCUGUCCUGAUCAGUCUGAAAAAUAAAAAAUCCACCUCUGUAAGGAUUUGUAACUUAUAAUGAAGUUUUGCUGCCAACAGAGCUCUUUGAAAUUGACAAGGACACUACUGUGUACACCAUCCUGAGCUCUGUCCUCCACGACCCAUACCACUUUGAGAAGCCAGAUGCUUUCCAUUCUGGCCACUUCCUGGAUUUGGAGGGCAACUUCAGGAAGCAAGAAGCCUUCAUCCUAUUCUCCAUGGCUCUGCUUCCUGCCCCACUGGGGAGGGGGAGAAGGGAUGAAGAUCCCCUCAGAGUCCUUGCAUCCAGCCCUCGUCUCUGCCCACAAAGAAUCUGUGGAGGUCUCCUGACUCCUCCCUGUUCAUUCUACCCUGUGGCUCUGUCCUUGCUGUUCCUUCUGCCUGAAACCCUCUUUCCAGUGGCCCGUUGAUGCUCACCCAUGAGGUCUUAGCUUAGAAAUCAGUGCUUCAGUCCCUGGCAACCACUGCUAUGAUUCUGUCUCUGAAAACUUACCUGUUCUGGAAGUUUCAUAUGAAUGGACUCAAACAGUUGUCCUGAAGAGGUUAAACCUUCACAAUGUUCCAUAACAUUCCGAAGUCAUGUGCCACUCCAAAAGCAUAAUGGCUGAGGUAUACAUAUCUGCGAACUGGUCUUCAGCCAACUGACAACCUCAAGUUAAAGUAAUUCAUUGUGGUUGUUGUGCUGAUUUUAUUUCUGGUAAAUAAGUACUCUCAAUUGUGCCCACUGAAGAAAUUUCUGCAUAUCCAGCUUGGUAAUGUCCUUCCUCAUCCUUUAAGUAAGACCUGUCUUUAAACCAACUUAAAUCAGCAUUCUCAGUAGGAAUUUCUUGUGAGUCAUUGCUAAGAGCAAGAAGGUAAUCUGUUAUUAAAAUACAGUCGUGGUCAA